rnacentral:rRNA from 1 species
UGGGGAAUAUUGCACAAUGGGCGCAAGCCUGAUGCAGCCAUGCCGCGUGUGUGAAGAAGGCCUUCGGGUUGUAAAGCACUUUCAGCGAGGAGGAAGGGUUCAGUGUUAAUAGCACUGUUCAUUGACGUUACUCGCAGAAGAAGCACCGGCUAACUCCGUGCCAGCAGCCGCGGUAAUACGGAGGGUGCAAGCGUUAAUCGGAAUUACUGGGCGUAAAGCGCACGCAGGCGGUUUGUUAAGUCAGAUGUGAAAUCCCCGCGCUUAACGUGGAACUGCAUUUGAACUG